GUAAACGUAGCUCAACUGGUUAGAGCAUUAGAUUGUGGUUCUAAAGGUUGUCGGUUCAAUUCCGAUCGUUUACC
rnacentral:tRNA from 1 species